rnacentral:snoRNA from 1 species
CUCCAUGUAUCUUUGGGACCUGUCGGCUAUGGCAGUCUCCCUUCCUAGCCAUGGAAGAGCAUAUUCUUGUUUAUUGGCAAAGCUUUCACCAUUUAAUUGUUAUCAGAUUCUGACUUGCACAAGUAACAUUC